rnacentral:rRNA from 1 species
UGUGUGUUGUUGGGUAGGGGAGCGUUCUGUAAGCCUGUGAAGGUGUGUCGUGAGGCAUGCUGGAGGUAUCAGAAGUGCGAAUGCUGACAUAAGUAACGAUAAAGCGGGUGAAAAGCCCGCUCGCCGGAAGACCAAGGGUUCCUGUCCAACGUUAAUCGGGGCAGGGUGAGUCGACCCCUAAGGCGAGGCCGAAAGGCGUAGUCGAUGGGAAACGGGUUAAUAUUCCCGUACUUGGUGUUACUGCGAAGGGGGGACGGAGAAGGCUAUGUUGGCCGGGCGACGGUUGUCCCGGUUUAAGCGUGUAGGUGUGUGUUCCAGGUAAAUCCGGUUCACUUUAACACUGAGGCGUGACGACGAGGCACUACGGUGCUGAAGCAACAAAUGCCCUGCUUCCAGGAAAAGCCUCUAAGCAUCAGGUAACAUCAAAUCGUACCCCAAACCGACACAGGUGGUCAGGUAGAGAAUACCAAGGCGCUUGAGAGAACUCGGGUGAAGGAACUAGGCAAAAUGGUGCCGUAACUUCGGGAGAAGGCACGCUGACACGUAGGUGAAGUGAUUUACUCAUGGAGCUGAAGUCAGUCGAAGAUACCAGCUGGCUGCAACUGUUUAUUAAAAACACAGCACUGUGCAAACACGAAAGUGGACGUAUACGGUGUGACGCCUGCCCGGUGCCGGAAGGUUAAUUGAUGGGGUCAGCGCAAGCGAAGCUCCUGAUCGAAGCCCCGGUAAACGGCGGCCGUAACUAUAACGGUCCUAAGGUAGCGAAAUUCCUUGUCGGGUAAGUUCCGACCUGCACGAAUGGCGUAAUGAUGGCCAGGCUGUCUCCACCCGAGACUCAGUGAAAUUGAACUCGCUGUGAAGAUGCAGUGUACCCGCGGCAAGACGGAAAGACCCCGUGAACCUUUACUAUAGCUUGACACUGAACAUUGAGCCUUGAUGUGUAGGAUAGGUGGGAGGCUUUGAAGUGUGGACGCCAGUCUGCAUGGAGCCGACCUUGAAAUACCACCCUUUAAUGUUUGAUGUUCUAACGUGGACCCGUUACCCGGGUUGCGGACAGUGUCUGGUGGGUAGUUUGACUGGGGCGGUCUCCUCCUAAAGAGUAACGGAGGAGCACGAAGGUUGGCUAAUCCUGGUCGGACAUCAGGAGGUUAGUGCAAUGGCAUAAGCCAGCUUGACUGCGAGCGUGACGGCGCGAGCAGGUGCGAAAGCAGGUCAUAGUGAUCCGGUGGUUCUGAAUGGAAGGGCCAUCGCUCAACGGAUAAAAGGUACUCCGGGGAUAACAGGCUGAUACCGCCCAAGAGUUCAUAUCGACGGCGGUGUUUGGCACCUCGAUGUCGGCUCAUCACAUCCUGGGGCUGAAGUAGGUCCCAAGGGUAUGGCUGUUCGCCAUUUAAAGUGGUACGCGAGCUGGGUUUAGAACGUCGUGAGACAGUUCGGUCCCUAUCUGCCGUGGGCGCUGGAGAACUGAGGGGGGCUGCUCCUAGUACGAGAGGACCGGAGUGGACGCAUCACUGGUGUUCGGGUUGUCAUGCCAAUGGCACUGCCCGGUAGCUAAAUGCGGAAGAGAUAAGUGCUGAAAGCAUCUAAGCACGAAACUUGCCCCGA